AAAGUCGUAACAAGGUUUCCGUAGGUGAACCUGCGGAAGGAUCAUUUUUGAUAUCGAGUGGGGAAUUGUGGUUGUAGGGUGCAAGCCCUCCCAUGAUUCUUCAUUUUAUAGAAGCAGCGGCAGAAAUGUCGUUUGUGAAGAGGGAUUGUGUUUUGGUUGUUUUGUGUUGGGUUUUCUCUGACGAUGGGGGAGUUGUCGGUUUGAUCUUGGGUGACGAGAUUGAAAUUGGCGGCUUUCUUUGAAUUGGGCUAUGGAAUUCCUGACGAUCCCUCGGCCUUUGGCUGUUGCCUCUGGCUGAAUUACAAAACAACUCUUUAGAAUCAGAGUAAUGUAAGUGAUUGUUUGUUUCCAAAUGGAAAAACAUUUGUAACAACUUUCAGCAAUGGAUCUCUUGGCUCUC
rnacentral:misc_RNA from 1 species